rnacentral:rRNA from 1 species
CGCGUAAUACCGAAGGUUGCGAGCGUUGUCUGAUUACUGGUUGUAAGCGCGGUGUAGGCGGGAUUGUAAAUGUCAGAUGUGAAUAUUACCAGAGCUUAAACUCUCGAAGCUGCAUUCUGAACCUGUUUUUCUGAGUUGUCGGGAGAGGAAAUGUGAAAUUCCCCAGUGUAGCGGUGAAAUGCGUAGAUAUGGGAGAGGAAACACCAGUGGCGAGGGCGACUUUCUGGACGAUAACUGACGCUGAGGCGCGAAAGCGUGGGGAGCCAAACAGGAUUAGAUACCCUGGUAGUCCACGCCGUAAACGAUGGAUACUAGGUGUAGGAAGGUAUCGACCCCUUCUGUGCCGGAGUUAACACAAUAAGUAUCCCCACCUGGGGAGUACGGCCGCAAGGUUGAAACUCAAAGGAAUUGACGGGGGCCCGCACAAGCAGUGGAGUAUGUGGUUUAAUUCGAAGCAACGCGAAGAACCUUACCAGGGCUUGACAUGCAGGUGAAUAAGCAAGAGAUUGCUUAGUCUUUCGGGACACCUGUGCAGGUGGUGCAUGGUUGUCGUCAGCUCGUGUCGUGAGAUGUUGGGUUAAGUCCCGCAACGAGCGCAACCCUUGUUGUUAGUUGCCAUCAUUAAGUUGGGCACUCUAACGAGACUGCCGGUGACAAAUCGGAGGAAGGUGGGGACGACGUCAAAUCAUCAUGCCCCUUAUGUCCUGGACUACACACGUACUACAAUGGCUAUAACAGCAGGGAGCUAAGGCGCAAGCCGGAGCGAAUCCUCAAAGAUAGUCUCAGUUCAGAUUGUGGGCUGCAACCCGCCCACAUGAAGUCGGAAUUGCUAGUAAUGGCAGGUCAGCAUACUGCCGUGAAUACGUUCCCGGGCCUUGUACACACCGCCCGUCACACCAUGAGAGUUUGCAACACCCGAAGU